AAAGGAAACUACAAUCUUCUACAAAUGAAUCAAAUAUGACUGUUAUGAGUCAGUAUGAGUACGCACAGAAUGCAACACAAUAAUAUGCAAAGAGUAACCCGGAUGCCACAUGAAAUCGACAGUUCAGGAGGCAAAACAGUUGGCCAUGCCACGUGGAAGACAAAGGGUCCCAGUCCAAUGUGAAGACACUAUUUCAGUUCAGUGUCAGGAUGACCAAUUCGGGUUGGAUGCUGAAGUGGUUUAUGAUGAAAAAUUCUUUCCCUUACGAAGGUGCAAUCCAUUUGUGACUGGGUCAUAUCACAGGGGACGAGUUCCUGGGCAGAAUCAGGAUACUGGCGUGUCUCCAGGAUUCAUAGCACCUGAUGGCAUGGGCGGCAAUGGCCAAGAGCUGAUGAACAGAGAUGAACGCUAUAAAAAAGAGAAGCGUGUGCAUCCAAAGGGAAAGAAGAAAAAGGUUAAGAGAGGCGAGAACACAGCUUCACCAUUAAAGAGGAAAAUCAUCCAGUCAGCAUCUGACAGUAACGAAAUGUGAUUUGAUUAAUAAGAUAAAUAACACCUAUUUUCUUGUUUAAAGUGAUAGUUCACCCAAAAAUUCUGUCAUUAAUUACUCACCCUCAUGUUGUUUCAAACCCGUAAGACCUUUGUUCACCUUUGGGACACAAACUAAGUUAUUUUUGAUGAAAUGCGAGAGCUGUCUGACCCUGAAUAGACAGCAACGGAACUAUCACGUUCAAGCCCAGAAAGGUAGUAAGAACAAUCAUUAAAAUAGUCCAUGCGGCAUCAGUGAUGGACAGCGUUGCUGUCUAUGCAGGGUCAGACAGCUCUCGGAUUUUAUCGAUAGCUUAGUUUGUGUUCUGAAGAUGAAUGAAGGUCUUACAGGUUUGGAACGACACAAGGGUAAUUAAUUACAGAAUUUUCAUUUUUGGGUGAACUGUCCCUUUAACGUAGCAUACACACUGCUUUUCUAUAAGCUUAAGCAGCACUUAAAAGCUUUAUAAACUUUGAAUCUAUAACUCUAACUUUCUGUACUCUUUAAAUAAAUUCUUUCAAAAGGACAAUAAAAGCUGUCAUUCAUUAUCGUAAAUGGAAAAGACUGUCAUCAUAAUUAAAGAGCUGAAAUGAAAUUUCUGUCAUCAUUAACUC
ensembl:lncRNA